rnacentral:rRNA from 1 species
GACGUAGGGGGCAAGCGUUGUUCGGAAUUACUGGGCGUAAAGCGUGCGUAGGUGGUGAGUUAAGUCUGAUGUGAAAUCCCUGGGCUCAACCCAGGAAGUGCAUUCGAAACUGGCGAGCUUGAAUAUGGAAGAGGGUCGCGGAAUUCCCGGUGUAGAGGUGAAAUUCGUAGAUAUCGGGAGGAACACCAGUGGCGAAGGCGG